rnacentral:rRNA from 1 species
UACGGAGGGUGCAAGCGUUAUCCGGAAUUACUGGGUUUAAAGGGUGCGUAGGCGGCUUCAUAAGUCAGGGGGGAAAGCCUAUCGCUUAACGAUAGAAUUGCCUUUGAUACUGUAAAGCUUGAAAGGGGUUGAGGUCAGCAGAAUGUGGCAUGUAGCGGUGAAAUGCAUAGAUAUGCCAUAGAACACCGAUUGCGAAGGCAGCUGGGUGGGCCUACUUUGACGCUGAGGCACGAAAGCGGGGGGAGCGAACAGG